GUGAAUCAGAAUGUCACGGUGAAUACGUUCCCGGGUCUUGUACACACCGCCCGUCACACCAUGGGAGUCAGCAACGCCCGAAGUCAGUGACCUAACCGAGAGGGAGGAGCUGCCGAAGGCGGGGCCGGUAACUGGGGUGAAGUCGUAACAAGGUAUC
rnacentral:rRNA from 1 species